GGGGUCGUGGUGUAACGGCAGCACUUCGGACUUUUAAUCCGGCAGGUGUGGGUUCGAAUCCCGCCGGCCCCA
rnacentral:tRNA from 1 species